AGCACUUAAAAAAUAUUGUGCCACUUCCUUCUGGCCUCCAUGGUUUGAGAUGGAGAACUCUGCUGUCACCCUCAUUGAUCUUUCCCUUCACACCAAUGCCAAUUCCAGACUAACAUCCUGAAGCUCCAGUUUUGAGGGGUGCAAGCUGCAAGACUGAUAUCAACAUCCACCAAAUACCACUGAUGAGUGGCAAGUAUUAAAAAAACACAGAAAAUCCCACAGCAUGUUGUGGGUUGAAUUAUGCUUCUUCCCUCCCCAGAAGAGGUAAGUUGAAGUCCUAACACUGAGUAGCUAGAAAUGUGACCUUAUUUGGAAAUAGGGUCAUUGAAGAUGCACUUAGUUAAUGUGAGGUCAUACUGGAGUAGGGUGGACCCCAGUCCAAUAUGGGUGUCAUUAUAAGAAGAUGGUCAAAGGCCGUAGGAAGACAGAGACACACAGGGAGAAUACUAUGUGAUAACGAAGGCAGAGGCUAGAGUUACAUGGCUCCAAGCAAAGGAGCACCAAAGGUUGUCAAACCACCAGAAGCUGGGAAGGAUCAAAGGAUGAUUCCUCUUACAGACUUCAGAGAGAGCAUGGCCCUGCCUGCACCUUGAUUUCAGAUUUCCAGACUUCAGAACUGUUUUUUAACCCACCCAGUUUGUGGUACUUUAUUAUGGAAACCCUAAGAAAUGAGUACGCAGGGUUAAGGUUACUCAUCUGUAGGGAACGUGGAAGUUUGUGGGUUAUUACUCUCGAAAUAUCAUUUAACCAAAGGUCACAGUUAUCCAGUGUUCCCCUCCUAGAAAGAUGCUCCUUUGACACACACACUAUGGUUUCCCAUCGCUUUUAACAGGGUGAGGAAUUAAGUCCCAGGAUGAGGAUUUUCUUCUCAACUCAACACAAGCUCAUUUUAUCACUUUUUAUAAGCAAGACCAACACCUACCUUCAUGGGGCUGUAGGAGCCCCUGCUAAUGAAGUCAGGAGAACAGAUCAUCAGCUCAAGGGACAGAAACGUCAACUUCACCCAGGCAUCCCAGGACCUCCGUGGCUUCAGGACACUGUCCUUGCCUGUCUUGCUAUAGAGCAGUGUUUCAUAACCUUUGUUUUACAUUGUUGCCUUUUCAGACAUUUUCCCCCUAAUUACCCCCUGGAUAAAAUUUUAAUACCACAGUUAUACUGUCUACCUUAAGCACAACAGAGUGGGGAUAUGAACUGCUGAAAACACCUUAGACAACAACUUGUAUUUUAAUCAUCCAUUUUCUCAUAUAGCAUCAUCUGUAUAUAUGUCUCUGCUUUAUAGAUAAAGAGAGCAAGGUUUUUUUUUCUCCCUCCAAAGGCCACUUUUUGCCCCCUUAGAGGAAUAUAAUCCUGUUGAGAAGGCACACCCUAGAGUCCAAAAUCUGGGUUUGGAUCCUGCUCCUGCCCUUACUUGGAAAAUUACCUUGGGUAAAUUACUGUCUCGGUGAGCUCAGUUUCCACAACUGUAAAAGGGGGGUACUGUCCACCUGACGGGACUACAUAUAAUAAGGUGGAGAAUGUUGACACCUAAUCAAGAUUACUCUUCUCCCAUCUACUCUCUGCUUGCAGCCUAGAUUCAGCCCUCAGAAGUUAGUCUUGCCUAAACUUGGCCCAGGCUUUCAAGUCUGCCCCUUCUUGCUCUUUACUUUAUAUAGCCUGCCCUUCCCUCCUGUUCUCACCUGCUGUACACUCUUCUCAUGGAAGUCCAGCGCAUGCAUCCCUUCCCCUGGGACACUUGUCAUGUUGUUGCUCUAGCCACUGGGCUCCCUGAGAAUUUUGCAAUCUCCGGCAGAGCACUCUUUACUCCUCCACAACCACCCAUGCACAGACCUUUUUCCACAAAAGCUUCCAUAAGCAUGAAUAGUGAUCAAUUCAUCUCUUUAACCUUGACUAUUAAUGUAGGCCUGGGAACUUGCUGAAAGAGUGAACCAGUUGUUUUUCCUUAUAAAAGAAAUUUCAAGGAGAUCAAAAUUCCCACCUGGUUUGUUCCCCCAACAUAACUGUCAUGUAAGCUAUGCAAAUAUGCUUCAAGAAGAAAAGAGGAAAAGAAUAUUACAAGUAAAACACAGACCAACAAUUUCUACUUCCAAAAUUAUAUACAAAGAUGCAAGUGAAAAUUUGAACAAACCAUUCUCCAGAAAAUUGUUGAUGGGCAGUAAGCAGUUGAUAGUACUUUAGCAUAGACCUUUUGUAUAGGUCAAACUCAGUAAGCAUUCAUAGAAGAAAUAAGUAAUAAAUAUGUUGCUUUACUACUGGAUAUGUCAGUGUGUAUUUCCAAGAACAAGGACACUCUCUUACAUAAACAUGGAAAAUGAUCAAUUCAGGGAAAUUUUAAAUUACUACAAUACUAUUCCCCUACUAUCCAUAAACAAAUAUUUCCAACUGUCCCAAUGUCCUUUGUAGCUAUAUUCCCCUACCUUAGGAGUUGAUCAAGGAUCAGGCAGUUCAUUUAGCUGUCAUGUCUCCUUAGUCUUCUUUAAUCCAAACAUUUUCUCAGCCUUUGUCUUUUGUGACAUCAACAUUUUGAAAAAUUUAAGCCAGUUUAUAUAUAUGUAUUUGUUUGAUGUUUCCUCAAAAUUAGAUUUAUACUGAAAUUUGGACAGGUGGAUUGUCUCUCAUGGUACAUAAGCUUCACACCAACAUCUCCUAAAUCUUUUUUUCCUUCAAAUUCUUUAAUCUAGUCAAGAGAUUUGGCAGUUGUACAGCUUUUCCACUAAACAGCCCUGUGUAACUUGGGAUUUUUCAGGCACACAGUAACUUUCUUUGACUUGCUACAUCUUGGUGUAUAAAGACAUCUCAAGAGCUAAUUAUCCAAGGGCUUUCAGAACUAAGGCUGCACACCUAUGACCAUCUGAUCUUCAACAAAGCUGACAAAAACAAGCAACGGGGAAAGGACUUCCUAAUCAAUAAAUGGUGCUGGGAUAACUGGCUAGCCAUGUGCAGAAGAUUGAAGCUGAACCCCUUCCUUGCGCUAUAUAUGAAAAUCAGCUCAAGAUAGAUUAAAGAGUUAAAUGUGAAAUCCAAAACUAUAAAAACCCUGGAAGACAACCUAGGCAAUACCAUCCUGGACACAGGAACAGGCAAACAUUUCAUGACAAAUACACCAAAAGAAAUUGCAACAAAAGCAAAAAUUGACAAAUGGGAUCUAAUUCAACUUAAGAG
rnacentral:lncRNA from 1 species